UGGCAUUAGAGUUUGAUCCUGGCUCAGAAUCAACGCUGGCGGCGCGCUUAACACAUGCAAGUCGGACGAGAAAGUGGGGGCAACUCCAUGAGUACAGUGGCGUACGGGUGAGUAACACGUGGGGAUCUACCUUCUGGAGGGGGAUAACUCUGGGAAACCGGAGCUAAUACCGCAUAAGCAGGGGACUGGAAAGCCGAAAGGCGCCGGAAGAGGAGCCCGCGGCCGAUUAGCCAGUUGGUGAGGUAACGGCUCACCAAAGCAGAGAUCGGUAGCCGGCCUGAGAGGGCACACGGCCACACUGGCACUGAAACACGGGCCAGACUCCUACGGGAGGCAGCAGUGGGGAAUCUUGCACAAUGGGGGCAACCCUGAUGCAGCGACGCCGCGUGAGCGAUGAAGCCCUUCGGGGUGUAAAGCUCUUUCGACCGGAACGAUAAUGACGGUACCGGGAGAAGAAGCUGCGGCUAACUACGUGCCAGCAGCCGCGGUAAUACGUAGGCAGCAAGCGUUGUUCGGAGUUACUGGGCGUAAAGAGUGCGUAGGCGGUGGUCUAAGUUCGUUGUGAAAUCUCCCGGCUUAACUGGGAGGGUGCGGCGGAAACUGGGCUGCUGGAGUGUGGGAAAAGCAAGCGGAAUUCCUGGUGUAGCGGUGAAAUGCGUANAUAUCAGGAGGAACACCGGCGGUGUAGACGGCUUGCUAGACCAUAACUGACGCUGAGGCACGAAAGCGUGGGUAGCUAACAGGAUUAAAUACCCUGGUAGUCACGCCCCUAACGAUGCAUACUUGGUGUGGGCAGNUCAUUCUGUCCGUGCCGGACUAACGCUUAAGUAUGCCGCCUGGGGAUUACGGUCCAGGCUAAA
rnacentral:rRNA from 1 species